UGUGUCUCUGUGUCUCUGGUGUACAGCGGGGGUCGGUUCAGCCUCACCUCUGCUCUCAUUCGCUUGCCCGAUGACUGCACAGUGGGGUACAUCGUGGAGCGCCGUCUCGGGGUCCCCCUGCUGAGCAGCCAGCUCUUCCACUCCCACCUGGAGAACCUGCAGCUCAUCGCGCCCCAGAACCUGAGGAGACAGGUCACGCUGAGCUACGGCACGUUCGAGAACAAACUCAACAGCAUAGAACUCAAAGGAGUCUUUACAAAACAGAACGACCCGUCCAGGUUCAAAACUCUCCACUGUCUGCUCUACCCAGAUACCCACUGGUGCCCCCAGCAAUACGCCCCUUGACCUUUCAGCUUGACCGUGGUCACGUCAAGGAUCGUCAA